rnacentral:sRNA from 1 species
UGAAGGUCAGCCCUUGCGGCGAUAGUGA